rnacentral:rRNA from 1 species
AUGCAGUUACAGCUCAAGGAUGAAAGGAUAAGAAAGAAGAAGUGUGAUUUCCAGAGGAGAAAGGAGUUGGAACGGCGUCAAAAGGUUGCUUGUGUGCAACGAAGUGAUGGGGAUGUUGCUCAAGCUCCUAAAGGUGUAGGUGAUGAAGGUGGUGAUGCGGCCUUUUCAACUGUUGAUGCUGGCCCUCAUGGAAGCGACAUGCCUGUGAAGACAAACCCGAUGCAAACUCGUUUGACGCAAGUGUUUACUCGUGAUGCAGUUAAGGAGAAGAAAGUUGUUUUGAAGAGGAAGAUGUUAGAUCGGAAUCCUGAUGGCACACAGAGGCGCAACCCACGUGUGAAAGCUGGUUCCCAACCUGGUAAUAGCAAAGCUGAUGGGGAUAGUGUUGCUGUGAAGAUUGGUCCAAGCACAGUUGGUGGCUCCCCUGUUCGUCGGAGUCCACGAGUUUUGACAAAUAAGAAGCCUUCUUCGUCUCCUCUUCCAGAGCGCUCUUUGUUGAAAGAAAAUAAGAAGCGUAAAGUUGCUCCUGCGAAGGUGAACAAAGGUGUGAAGAAGCGUGCUCGUGUCGAAGCUGAAGAUGUUGUAUCUGAAGAAGAUGAUAUCGAAGUUGAUUCUGAAGAUGAAUUUGCAGUGCCUGUUAGCGUUAUGAGUCCGGUCAAGCCGGUGGGAGGCAAUGCCGGAAAAGUUGCUUUGGAUGAAGGUGACCAAUGGCGAUUGAACUUAAUUGUGCGAUGUUCGUUGGGAGAGGUUGAAGCUUGUGCUAAAUUGCUUGAGAGUCGCGUGAAGUCUAACAUUUCUCGCCCUCUGAUGGGAGCUUUGUACCUGAGGAUAGAUCCUGAUACGAUGAAUCUUGACAUGGGUGAGGCUAAUAAGAAGCUUUGCAUCACUAGCGAUGGUAUACAACAAUUAUUUGGGUUCCCUCGUGGUGGUCGUUCUGCACCAAGGCCGUCAGAGGACGGAUAUGACAACGCUCUGAUGAAGUUAAGAUCGGAGCUUGACAUUAGUAGGAACAAAGAUAUCAAUACAAAGGAUUGGAGGGACAGGCUCAAGGUGCUUGUCAAGGAUCGUAGCAAAGAUGACCUUGCUCUGAAAGUGUUCUUCAUUAUUGUGUUUAUGAAGGUUGUGUUGCCUGGUGCCGCCCCGCGUGUUUCCAGAGAGGCAGCAAUGUUUGAGGGUCUCGUCAUUGAGGACAUGGCUAAUAUGGAUUAUUGCCAGCUGAUGGUUGAUGAGCUUAGAAGGGCUGUUGUCAGGUACCAAGAUGGUGUUACCAUGGGGAAGGCAAUCACAGGCUGUGCUAUAGGGCCUGUACUAAUGUACCUUGACUGCCUUAUCCGUGGCAAGACUGCGGAGCCUGACAUGUGA